UUCGUCUCACCUCAUCACAGAAAGAAGGGUGAGCACAGUACAAUGAGAUACUGUUUGUCUUCUCAGAUAGAAUUUAUCACCCUUGAAGAGAGGAAUCCCCGGGACCAGAUACUAGAAUCAAGGAUGCUCAACUUCUUCGGAGCACUUACAACUGAUUGGGUGGAUCCGAGAAGUGCCCUCAAGUAUGGUCUCAUGGGUUUCUGGUCUUGAAGACAGAAGUCCCAGAAGUUGGAGAUUGUGUUUAAAACAUGCGUCUUUGCCAAGUGUAGUGGGGCACAUCUAUAAUCUCAGCACUUGGGAGGCUGAGGCAGGAAGACUGCUGUGAGUUCAAGAGGCUGGACGACAGUUCACUGUGAUACUUGUGUGUGAUUGAACGUCACCUACCAGGCGCAGGACCCUGCUACGGGACAGCCCUCAUCCACCAGAUCAAGAGGCACAUCUGGCAGCUCUUGUUCCUUGCUGUUCUCUUAGGUCUGCUUGAAAAGGCAGUCUGAGAAGCUUUACAUGCUCUGCAUGUGUCACAAUUCAAGAGAAGUAUGUCUUAAUAAAAUCUGACGUAAGAAAGCCCAGAGUGGCUCAGAAAAAAAUA